rnacentral:rRNA from 1 species
UACGUAGGCGGUUAAAUAAGUCAGGUGUAAAAGGCAUUGGCUCAACCAAUGUAAGCACUUGAAACUGUUUGACUUGAGUAUAGGAGAGGUAAGUGGAAUUCCUAGUGUAGCGGUGAAAUGCGUAGAUAUUAGGAGGAACACCAGUGGCGAAGGCGACUUACUGGACUAUUACUGACGCUGAGGUACGAAAGCGUGGGGAGGCAAAACA